UGGUAGGAAGGAAUGCACAACAAGGGAGGGGUAUAUUGUUGCAGGUAAACAACAAGGGAGAAAAGUGUAAUAGUGGAAACUAACAGAAGGGCAUAGAAAAGUCGAUCAGGGGAAGAGCAGAAAAAAAACAUAUCAGUUCAGGGUGAAGGGUAUAAGUGUGCAGUCAAAUGAAGAGUGAUUGAAGAAGAAGAAGAACACCACAGACAGUUUUACUACACUGCCCAGCAUUUACAAAAAUAAUAAAAAAAUCGCCCUAUCCCCCAACUAUCAACUAGUGGAUAAAAGACACCGUAGUCGAAAAAAAACAGAAUAACAACGAUAAAACUGCAUGAAAACACUAUAUGACAUGAAACAAGAAAAACAUAUAAACGAGUUAUAUGCUUAGAAAGGCUAACUGUACUAUUUUACUGAUGAAAAGUCCCAUAAAGACAGCAGUAAAUAGCCACCGGUCGAAAACAGAAAUAAAAGAUCCUCUACAAAGGUAUGGCGUGACUCCCCAUCAGCACGACACGACGCACAGGGCGGACCAAGGAGACUAUAAUACGUAUCUUAUAUAGUGGACUGUACGUGAUUUUGGCCGCGUUAUCCUUCCCCAGUGUUGUGGCGACAAGGGAGUGGUGACACCGGCAGCAGCUUCCAGGAGGUAAGAGGACAUGUUAUGAGAUUCUGUUGGUGAUUAAGACCAGCUAAUUCGUAGUGUACGUAGGUACUUGCAAAGACGAACAAUGUUACGCAAUGUUAUUACGUUCACGUUGAGAAUACGCCAAGCCCUUCAGCCACCAUAAUCUGUUAUGAACACGUGCCAUUCCUCCAAGACGUCCCCGAUCGUUCUUGCUCCCCCGCAAGACGCUGCUCAGCUGUCUUAUCAGUAGCAGUCAUCAGUGACGUCACAGUGGUCAACACAGGCCUGCUGGGGGGCACCGGCCAGCGGCGAUGGCCAUUUCUUGAGCUUCCUCCGGGUGACCCUGCCAGGUAGUGCACCAAGUGAACCUCCGCCGGGAACCUGGCGAGGGAGGAAUGAACUAAGGAUCGUCUUCUUGAACCUUUCGGCGCCCAGGCACAUAUAUGACUGAUGUGAGAGUCGUGGGUCCGUUGUUAAGGUGUCGCGUUUUGACCCACCUGUUGCCAUUCACGGUGUGCUCGGAGCCGAAGUGGAAGUGGACCUGCGAGAAGAUGUACUUGCCGGGCAGGUUCCCGCCAGACACAG